CCAAUCUACCAGGAAAAACAAUCCAUGAAAAUAAAACUAUUUUUCUGCAGGGUUUCUGUCCUUCUCAUCAUCAUCAUCAUCUAUCUUCAUAUUUGUUCCCAGGCUGGUGACACCAGGAGAUCCAGGAGACCCAGGAGAUCAGCAGUUUCUGAAAUACUCAAACCAGCCCAUCUGCUACAGUAAUAAUGGCUGUAUCUGGAGGGCUCUCUGAGGUGAAAGAAGCCACUGCUGAGAUAAGGUGGAGUUCACUGGGAAUAAGGAGGUUGGAAUAUGCCAACUGUUUAUUCUUUUUUUUGUCUAGUUUUGGAAAUGCCAAGGUAAAUAAUAAAAGUGGAAUGAAAAGCACUGUUUUCAAUGUAGGUGUUA